GGCGCUAUAGUGUAGUGGUUAUCACUCGGGAUUUUGAUUGCAACAAUUGCAGCGUACGUUUCCCGAAACCCAGGUUCGAACCCUGGUAGAGCCU